rnacentral:rRNA from 1 species
UACGUAGGCAGCAAGCGUUGUUCGGAGUUACUGGGCGUAAAGGGUGUGUAGGCGGCUUCGUAAGUUCGGUGUGAAAUCUCCCGGCUUAACUGGGAGGGUGCGCCGAAAACUGCGGAGCUGGAGCGCAGGAGAGGAAAGCAGAAUUCCUGGUGUAGCGGUGAAAUGCGUAGAUAUCAGGAGGAAUACCGGUGGUGAAGGCGGCUCGCUGGGACGGAACUGACGCUGAGGCGCGAAAGCGUGGGGAGCGAACAGG